rnacentral:rRNA from 1 species
AUGGCGGACUGGCGUCAGCGCCACCCGGAGGACGUCGCCUACGAGCAAGCCUACUGGGCAAGGCGCCGCGAGGAGGACACGCAAAGGCGCCACGCGUCGCGGUUGGACAGGCGUCGGCGGAAGGCGUUGGCGAAUGCGCAGUCCGACCUCGUUGCAGCAGGUGGGCGGUCGUUCUUCACGCCGAACGAUGAGCGGUGGCUGGACAUCUGGCUAUCUACCUCGGACGACACCGCCGAGGAUGAUAGUGGUGAUGACGAUAGCGACUUAGAGUAG